GAUGAACGCUAGCGGCAGGCCUAACACAUGCAAGUCGAGGGGUAGAAUUAGCUUGCUAAUUUGAGACCGGCGCACGGGUGCGUAACGCGUAUGCAAUCUACCUUGUACAGGGGGAUAGCCCAGAGAAAUUUGGAUUAAUACCCCAUGGUAUAAUUAAUUUGCAUGAAUUGAUUAUUAAAGUUCCAACGGUACAAGAUGAGCAUGCGUCCCAUUAGCUAGUUGGUGUGGUAACGGCAUACCAAGGCGACGAUGGGUAGGGGUCCUGAGAGGGAGAUCCCCCACACUGGUACUGAGACACGGACCAGACUCCUACGGGAGGCAGCAGUGAGGAAUAUUGGUCAAUGGUCGGAAGACUGAACCAGCCAUGCCGCGUGCAGGAAGAAGCAUCUAUGGUGUGUAAACUGCUUUUGUACGGGAAGAAACACUCCUUCGUGAAGGAGCUUGACGGUACCGUAAGAAUAAGGAUCGGCUAACUCCGUG
rnacentral:rRNA from 1 species